rnacentral:rRNA from 1 species
UGGGGAAUAUUGCACAAUGGGCGCAAGCCUGAUGCAGCCAUGCCGCGUGUGUGAAGAAGGCCUUCGGGUUGUAAAGCACUUUCAGCGGGGAGGAAGGCGUUAAGGUUAAUAACCUUGGCGAUUGACGUUACCCGCAGAAGAAGCACCGGCUAACUCCGUGCCAGCAGCCGCGGUAAUACGGUGGGUGCAAGCGUUAAUCGGAAUUACUGGGCGUAAAGCGCACGCAGGCGGUCUGUCAAGUCGGAUGUGAAAUCCCCGGGCUCAACCUGGGAACUGCAUUCGAAACUGGCAGGCUAGAGUCUUGUAGAGGGGGGUAGAAUUCCAGGUGUAGCGGUGAAGUGCGUAGAGAUCUGGAGGAAUACCGGUGGCGAAGGCGGCCCCCUGGACAAAGACUGACGCUCAGGUGCGAAAGCGUGGGGAGCAAACAGG